UGGGGAUACAACCUCCUACAGAAAGGAACUUCUGCAUGGCUUCUUGGUAGAUUUUUCCUUAGAACCCACAACAACUUGACUACAAAUAGAACAA
rnacentral:lncRNA from 1 species